GGAGGGUGGUACUGCAGUCGUUUUAAAAGCUUAGUAGGUGGGAAGAAGAAAUAUUCCCUGACAGCUGCUGCGCAUCCACUUAGGCUGGAGUUUCUGCUCGGGAAAAUCCGGGCUUGUGACUGAAUGGUGCUUCCUUGGUCUCCCUAGGAGUAUGCAAAGCAAAGCAGUUAAAGGACGUGGAAGGUUUAUAGUAACUUUGACUCUCCUGUCGCAAUGAGCUACUCACUCUGAGGGAAUGGAAAAGGAAAACUACAGGAAGAAGAGAACAUGAAUUAAUUUCUCACGUUAUUGAAGCCAUCGUAGAAAUAGUGAACUGUCACAGAGCAAGCCCCCAAUGAAUGGUAGGUUCUGUGUUCAAUGUUUUACUGGUGCUAAUUCU
rnacentral:lncRNA from 1 species